rnacentral:lncRNA from 1 species
GAAAAACCACAAAGAAAGAGGCAUAUGAAAAGUGAAAAAAAUACAGAGCUGGAGGUGAACCUAAACACUCAGAGGUAAUUUGCCUUGAGGAGCAAGAGCCCUUGAGACCUAUGUGUAGACUUUGGAAAAAAGAACCUGUGAACAAUAGUAAAGGCUAUGAAAGUACCAUCCCUCUGACAGGUUGUCUUCUAACUGGAAAAUGAAGAGUCAAAAAGUCCUGAGGCCUUUCUGCCCUUCUCACUGAAAGGAAAAUGAACAGCCUGGUCAUGGGAUGAAUGUUGUCUUGGGUCACCAUCAAGAUCCUGACCUGCCUAAAUGAUGUGACACAAGGAAAGAGCCCCCCUGCCCCAAGAAAAGCAGUUUUGGAGUAUCCAUGGCUACUUUAUGCUGUAUCUUCACUCUAUUAUUUUGAACACUGUGCUCCUUUAUUGAGGUGAAAGGAAAAUGAAUUAGCAAAAGCUGGCACAGGUAAUUAAUAUUGUGUGGGCGAGAGAGGGAGAACACUUUUUAAAUGGCUUGCAUUACAUUCAUAAAUCUGUUCUAUGGUGUUCACUGCUUGUAGUUGUGGCUAAGGAUGCUCAUCUGCCCCUCAUCUUCC